rnacentral:rRNA from 1 species
UACGUAGGGUGCAAGCGUUAAUCGGAAUUACUGGGCGUAAAGCGUGCGCAGGCGGUGAUGUAAGACAGUUGUGAAAUCCCCGGGCUCAACCUGGGAACUGCAUCUGUGACUGCAUCGCUGGAGUACGGUAGAGGGGGAUGGAAUUCCGCGUGUAGCAGUGAAAUGCGUAGAUAUGCGGAGGAACAUCAGUGGCGAAAGCGACUUCCUGGACCAGAACUGACGAUCAGGCACGAAAGCGUGGGGAGCAAACAGG